rnacentral:piRNA from 7 species
UUUUACUAAAGAUUUCCGUGGAGAGG